rnacentral:rRNA from 1 species
AUUGAACGCUGGCGGUAUGCUUAACACAUGCAAGUCGAACGGUAGCAGGCCUUCGGGCGCUGACGAGUGGCGGACGGGUGAGUAACGCGUAGGAAUCUGCCUCAUAGUGGGGGACAACGUGUGGAAACGCACGCUAAUACCGCAUACGCCCUACGGGGGAAAGCGGGGGACCUUCGGGCCUCGCGCUAUGAGAUGAGCCUGCGUUAGAUUAGCUAGUUGGUAGGGUAAAGGCCUACCAAGGCGACGAUCUAUAGCUGGUCUGAGAGGGCGAUCGGCCACACUGGGACUGAGACACGGGCCAGACUCCUACGGGAGGCAGCAGUGGGGAAUAUUGGACAAUGGGCGCAAGCCUGGUCCAGCAAUACCGCGUGUGUGAAGAAGGCCCUAGGGUUGUAAAGCACUUUCAAUAGGGAGGAAAACCUGUCGGUCAAUACCCGGCAGCUUGACAUUACCUAUACAAGAAGCACCGGCUAACUCCGUGCCAGCCGCCGCAGUAAAAC